rnacentral:rRNA from 1 species
AUUGAACGCUGGCGGCAUGCUUUACACAUGCAAGUCGAACGGCAGCGCGGGGGCAACCCUGGCGGCGAGUGGCGAACGGGUGAGUAAUGUAUCGGAACGUAUCCUGUAAUGGGGGAUAACCAGUCGAAAGAUUGGGUAAUACCGCAUAUUCUGUGAGCAGGAAAGCAGGGGAUCGCAAGACCUUGCGCUGAUUGAGCGGCCGAUGUCAGAUUAGCUAGUUGGUGAGGUAAAGGCUCACCAAGGCGACGAUCUGUAGCGGGUCUGAGAGGAUGAUCCGCCACACUGGAACUGAGACACGGUCCAGACUCCUACGGGAGGCAGCAGUGGGGAAUCUUAGACAAUGGGGGAAACCCUGAUCUAGCCAUGCCGCGUGAUCGAUGAAGGCCUUAGGGUUGUAAAGAUCUUUUCAGUGGGGAAGAUAAUGACUGUACCCACAGAAGAAGCCCCGGCUAACCUCCGUGCCCAGCAGCCCGCGGGUAAGACG